rnacentral:rRNA from 1 species
GAUUAGAUACCCUGGUAGUCCACACGGUAAACGAUGAAUACUCGCUGUUUGCGAUAUACUGCAAGCGGCCAAGCGAAAGCGUUAAGUAUUCCACCUGGGGAGUACGCCGGCAACGGUGAAACUCAAAGGAAUUGACGGGGGCCCGCACAAGCGGAGGAACAUGUGGUUUAAUUCGAUGAUACGCGAGGAACCUUACCCGGGCUUAAAUUGCAGAUGAAUUACGGUGAAAGCCGUAAGCCGCAAGGCAUCUGUGAAGGUGCCGCAUGGUUGUCGUCAGCUCGUGCCGUGAGGUGUCGGUUUAAGUGCCAUAACGAGCGCAACCCUUGUUGUCAGUUACUAACAGGUUUUGCUGAGGACUCUGACAAGUCUGCCAUCGUAAGAUGUGAGGAAGGUGGGGAUGACGUUAAAUCAGCACGGCCCUUUCGUCCGGGGGUACACACGUGUUACAAUGGGGGGUACAGAGGGCCGCUACCACGUGAGUGGAUGCCAAUCCCCAAAACCUCUCUCAGUUCGGAGUGGAGUCUGCAACCCGACUCCACGAAGCUGGAUUCGAUAGUAAUCGCGCAUCAGCCACGGCGCGGUGAAUACGUUCCCGGGCCUUGUACACACCGCCCGUCAAGCCAUGGGAGCCGGGGGUACCUGAAGUGGGUAACCGCGAGGAGCGCCCUAGGGUAAAACUGGUGA